AGAAAAGAUACACUUACAGUGUCGUCUAUAGUUUAAAUAAUUACCUUUUUAAUUGGUGUUCUUUGUUCACUUACAUGGUUCCUAAUUAUGAGGUUACUUUUGCUUUUGGCCUGAAGAACGUUUUUAGUAUUUUCUGUAAGGUAGGAGUGCUGGCUACAAAUUCUCUCAGCUUUUUCUUUUCUGAGAAAGUCUCUAUUUGCUUUUAUUUUUGAGAGAGUGUUUUGCUGGCUAUAGGAGUCUAAGAGUCUUUGUUUCAUUUGCUCCCUUUGAGCACUAUGAAUCUGUUAUUCCACUGCCUUCUGUCCAUUGUUUCUGUUGAGAAAUUCACUGAAUACCGCACUGGGUUGAUCUGUAAGUGGACACAUUAUCUUCCGCUUCAUUUGAAGAUUUUUCUCCUUGUGUUUGAUUUUCAGCGUUUUAAUAUGAUGUGUGUGUUUGUGGAUUUUUUUGUUUAUAUCGCUUGGAGUUCAUUGAGCUUCAUGGAUGUGUUUCUUUGAAAACUUUGAAAAGAAAAUAUGGUUCAGAAAAGAUAUAUGUCAUAUUUUCAUUCUGACCACCCUCCACACUUCAACUGGAUAUCCACAGAGCCUCCCCCUCAAGCUGCCAGUGAAGUGAAUGCAGUCACCGUUAUCAGCAAUGCUUUGUACAAGCAACUCACAAACCCUGCUAUGAUGGAUUUACUGCAGUAGAGUCUGUUGUAGACAAGGAGACCAAGUGGAGUUCAGAGAUUGAUAGAAAGAUCAUUUCUCUUCAUCUUAAAUAAACAACAAGAAAUCCUUCUAUAAAUCUGUGUCAUUAUGAUACUUUUAUUUAAACAACCUUUUUGACCCUCACUGACAGAAAGCACUGAAGAUCAACUGCAAUGCUGCAUAAGGCAGAAAUCCAUAUCACUUUGGUACUGUGUAAAUGAGCAUAUUUACAGUAUGUCAUCUCAAGAACCUGAAUUUUCACAGCCUCUUAAGUUCAAAUAUACUUUAUUUGUCAUAUAUCAUUUAACUUUGUUUUUCUUUAUUUCAAUUUUUUACCACAUUAAUAUUUUGUUUUACCUAUCAGCUUCCCUCAGUCUCAAUUAAACAUCCCUAUGUCCUAAUACUCUGCUAAAAACCUUUAGGAUGCAUGGUUGAUUCAAUUCGAUGUUUGCCUUUGUACUGCACCAGACUUUAUCUUCCUACAGGAAAAUAUCUCCCAAUAAUCAUGUGCUUCAUGGACAGUCAGCAUUUGUUGAACAACUAUAUACAAACUCACUUCACAAAUCUUUCAUACCUAUGUUAAUUCUACAUGUCCGGAUUAUUUUUUAUUUUACUCUAAGCUGAUGCUAGAAGUACACUUUCUUAAAACCACUUCCAUUUGUUUCUAUUUCCUUAAUUUCUUUAAAUUCAGACACUGUUUCUUACCUCUAGAAGGGGAAUAAUGGAGGAAUGAUUGUACUGAUGUAAUUUUGAAGAUUGAACUCAGGAAUCACAUUUUGAUUAGCAGGUGGCACGCUGAUGUUUGAGAAGGAAAUGAAAAGUGGAUUCAUAUGCAAAUGCGAUAUUGUGCAUCUGCAGUGAGCUUAAUGAGUGGUGAUAUUGAUUUAAUUUGGUUAAUAAAUAUUAGAUAAAUAUAACUCUUAAUUAAAAUAGUACAUCUCAAGGGAAAAAGUUGUAUCUGAACAGACAAAUUACCAAAGGUUGAAGGCUUUCUCUGACUGGAGUGUCACUCUUCCACCCUGAUGUUAAUUACGUUUGUAGCAUAUCAUUCAUGGAAAUAAUUUGGAUGUUCAGUAAGCAUGUGAUCCAGUCCAAAUAGUACUCUUUUUUUCUCAUGGCCUACUCCGAAAUCAUUUAUCAAAAAAUCGCUACAUAAAAUUCAUAGAUUAUUGCAAAUGAAAGGAAACUUGCAGUGCAUAUUGUCUGUAACUACUUAUUCAACAUUUAUCCAAUCUCUUCUUCAAUAUUUUGCAAAAUGGAUUAUAUCAUCUUGGCUUAAACUCAAGCAGAUACGAGGAGCUAAUAUCCUCAGGACAUAGGAUCUCAUGGUUGGGCAACUCAAAUGUUUCUGAAUUGCUUACAAGGAGCUCAGCCUUGUCUUUUUUUUUUUUUUUUUUUUUUUUUCUUUAGGGAUGCUAUUCUAUUCCCUAGAGUCUAUGGCAACAUCUGUUAAAAGAUGUUUUAACACAUAAUAGCUAUUCUCAUACAUAGUCCUGGUCAUUAUGUGUUCAUGAGGUGUCUUUUUCAUAGCUAAGCAGUAUUUUCCAUAAUAUAGCUUCUUUAGACACCCUAUAUUUAACUCAAAGUUAUCUUUAAGAGUUCAAGUUUAGAAGUAACCACAAUAUUCAAGAUAGGUCUAACAUAUGCAUAAUUCAAUAGCAAUGUUGUAUGAAAAUAUUCAUACAAAUAAAAUUUGUUUUCUCACUGUCUGAAUAGAGAAACAUCAUCUGAAUUUUAAACAAAUUAAUCCCUUAUUAAAUUUUCUAUACUUUUUAUCUUUAUUAUGGCCAAAACCUCUCUACAUGAUUCUUGUAGAAAAUGUAAAUGACACACACAUGUCACAGGACUUUUUUUUAUCCAGUGGCUUUCAAAUGUCAUUCCCAAUUCUUCAUAGAUUUUUGCCAUUAUAAUGACGGGUUGAAAAGUGGGAGGAAAAAAUCUGAUUUCUUCACAUUGGGAGGAUCUCUCCAAAUUCUCUUACAAAAUAAAACUUUGACAUAGUUUUGACUAAAUUUCUUUUUCAAUUAAGGCCACGUAUUUUUAAAAAUAUUAUUACACUUUAAGUUCUGGGGUACAUGUGCAGAUUGUGCAGGAUUGUUAAUAGGUAUACAAAUGCCAUGGUGGUUUGCUGCAUCCAUCCAUCAUCUACAUUAGGUAUUUUUCCUAAUGUUAUACCACCCCAAUCCGCCCACCUCCUGCUACCCUUCCUCUAGCCCCUUCAUCCU
rnacentral:lncRNA from 1 species